rnacentral:rRNA from 1 species
AGAAUGAACGCUGGCGGCAUGCCUAACACAUGCAAGUCGAACGAAGCCUUCGGGCUUAGUGGCGCACGGGUGCGUAACGCGUGGGAAUCUGCCCCUCGGUUCGGAAUAACAGUUAGAAAUGACUGCUAAUACCGGAUGAUGACGAAAGUCCAAAGAUUUAUCGCCGAGGGAUGAGCCCGCGUAGGAUUAGCUUGUUGGUGAGGUAAAAGCUCACCAAGGCGACGAUCCUUAGCUGGUCUGAGAGGAUGAUCAGCCACACUGGGACUGAACGACACCGGCCCAGACCUCCGUAGGGAGCAGCAGGUAGGGGAAUAGUGGACAAGUGGG